AGCAGUAGCCGCGGGAAUACGUAGGGUGCAAGCGUUAAUCGGAAUUACUGGGCGUAAAGCGUGCGCAGGCGGUUAUAUAAGACAGAUGUGAAAUCCCCGGGCUCAACCUGGGAACUGCAUUUGUGACUGUAUAGCUAGAGUACGGGAGAGGGGGAUGGAAUUCCGCGUGUAGCAGUGAAAUGCGUAGAUAUGCGGAGGAACACCGAUGGCGAAGGCAAUCCCCUGGGCCUGUACUGACGCUCAUGCACGAAAGCGUGGGGAGCAAACAGGAUUAGAUACCCCUGUAGUCCCUGUCUCUUAUAA
rnacentral:rRNA from 1 species